rnacentral:rRNA from 1 species
AUUGAACGCUGGCGGCAUGCCUUACACAUGCAAAUCGAACGGUAACGGGCCUUCGGGUGCCGACGAGUGGCGAACGGGUGAGUAAUACAUCGGAACGUGCCCGAUCGUGGGGGGUAACGAGGCGAAAGCUUUGCUAAUACCGCAUACGAUCUACGGAUGAAAGCAGGGGACCGCAAGACCUUGCGCGGACGGAGCGGCCGAUGGCAGAUUAGGUAGUUGGUGGGAUAAAAGCUUACCAAGCCGACGAUCUGUAGCUGGUCUGAGAGGAUGAUCAGCCACACUGGGACUGAGACACGGCCCAGACUCCUACGGGAGGCAGCAGUGGGGAAUUUUGGACAAUGGGCGCAAGCCUGAUCCAGCCAUGCCGCGUGCAGGAUGAAGGCCUUCGGGUUGUAAACUGAUUUUGUACGGAACGAAAAGCCUUCUUUUAAUACAGGAGGGUCAUGACGGUACCGUAAGAAUAAGCACCGGCUAACUACGUG